rnacentral:rRNA from 1 species
AUGGCCUUGAGUGGUAGGAUCAAGUACCGAAUCAAAGAGAUCAAGGAGCGAAAAGAUUGUAUGAGUGAACAGGAAUCAUGUCUUGCGGCUGCUGGCUUUAUGUGUAUCGCGGCGGAGGCCAAGAUGAUGUCUGGGAUGAUUCGGGACAACUUAGGCAACAGUGUCAGAAACUGUGCCCUUGAUCUUAUGGUCGACAAGAGGCAUGGGUGUGCCGCGGUUUGUGCCGCCUUGUUGGGUAUGACAAAGGAGGCUGAACUGAUGCUUGACUAUGCAAAACAAGAUGGAGUUAACCUAACCUGUAUUCAGAGGUUAUGGCAUGCCGCACAGUCCGGACUAGAACAGUAA